rnacentral:rRNA from 1 species
UACGGGAGGCAGCAGUGGGGAAUAUUGGACAAUGGGGGCAACCCUGAUCCAGCCAUGCCGCGUGUGUGAAGAAGGCCCUCGGGUUGUAAAGCACUUUCAGCGAGGAAGAACGCCUAUCGGUUAAUACCCGGUAGGAAAGACAUCACUCGCAGAAGAAGCACCGGCUAACUCCGUGCCAGCAGCCGCGGUAAUACGGAGGGUGCAAGCGUUAAUCGGAAUUACUGGGCGUAAAGCGCGCGUAGGUGGCUUGAUAAGCCGGUUGUGAAAGCCCCGGGCUCAACCUGGGAACGGCAUCCGGAACUGUCAGGCUAGAGUGCAGGAGAGGAAGGUAGAAUUCCCGGUGUAGCGGUGAAAUGCGUAGAGAUCGGGAGGAAUACCAGUGGCGAAGGCGGCCUUCUGGACUGACACUGACACUGAGGUGCGAAAGCGUGGGUAGCAAACAGGAUUAGAUACCCUGGUAGUCCACCCCGUAAACGAUGUCGACCAGCCGUUGGGUGCCUAGAGCACUUUGUGGCGAAGUUAACGCGAUAA